UACGUAGGGGGCCAGCGUUGCUCGGAAUUACUGGGCGUAAAGGGUUCGUAGGUGGUGCGGCAAGUUGGGAGUGAAAUCCCUGGGCUUAACCCAGGGGCUGCUUCCGAAACUGCUGUGCUUGAGUGUGGGAGAGGCGCGUGGAAUUGCAGGUGUAGCGGUGAAAUGCGUAGAUAUCUGCAGGAACACCCGUGGCGAAAGCGGCGCGCUGGACCACUACUGACGCUGAGGAACGAAAGCUAGGGGAGCAAACAGG
rnacentral:rRNA from 1 species